CGCCGGAUCAGGCCCAGCCCAGGCCUCGCCGGCACGGAGAGCGGCGGGAGGAAGCGACACCGGCCGCUCCUCCUCUCUUCGCCUCGCCUCGCCUCACCUCACCCCACCGCUCCCGCUCCCGCCCCCGCCGCGCAUGCGCGCUGCCGCCGCUGGGCCGGGAUAAGAGCCGCACUAGGGUGUUGCGUUUAAGCGCCAUGCUAUACGGUAGCACGUGUCCUACCCUUUGCUUUACGGCCUCCAAAAUGGCGGCGAUAAGUGAGUGUAAAUACGGUGAAAGCAAGCGUUGUUCCAGUGCAGUAGCCGUUUGUUUUUCGAAAUAAAUACGAGACCGCCCAUCCGAAACCGUUUUAACCACAUCAGGACAGCAGGGCCCGCUCUGAGUAUAGGCGCAGGCUGAAACGAGGCUGUCAGGGAGCGCGGUAACCGCGAGGGAAGAGGGCAUGCCUAACGCCGUAUUUAUGCCGACGUCCUUCCGGGCUUGCCUAUCCGUAGGGGUAUAUACGGAAUUCCUCUGAAAAACGCGAGGGUCACGUCCCGGUGUUCAUGGGCUCCUUGACCUUCAAGCUGCACCUGGCCCUGAAGCUCCUCCUUCCUCAUACGAUCCUUUGGCAACGCGACACCUCUUCACCUUUCAGCUCUCCCUGCCAGCCAGAAGUGCCAUGGCGUUUUCCAGAGAAAAGGCUAUGCAACUGGCCACACACGUUGCACAAGCUUUUAGAUCACGCCUAGACUGACUGAUGGAUCACGUGCUGCAUGGCUGAGUCACUGACACUGCCGAUGCCGUUGCAGAGUGAGUCAUGAGGACUGUCAGCAAGAGGAGAGAUGGGGAGAGAGUGAUCCUGCUCCUGAGAGAUUCUAGCUGAACCUUAUCAAAACCAGGAGAAUUAAUCAAUAGCUACAUCAUAGGUAUCAUUUCCUGAGGUGGAGAAGUGCAGAUUUAGAAUCAUUUCCCAUAUUAUUGUCGUCUUUCUGACCACUGCAAAGAAAACUGAAUUGUUCUUGUUUUAGCAUUUUUAUGGUAUGUAGACAUGGCAAGAAAUUACUCUGGACCAACAGUUUAAAGUUUAGAAUAAUGCAGCCAGUUUUGCUGGAAGCAGAAUGGGGAGCAACUUUGCCGAUAGCUCAAAGAGGUAGUAGGCUGAAAAAAGAAGCUGUAACAACCUGAAGGGCAGAAAACACCGGAGAGCUCACGUCAGCACCUGAGACUAUUCCAAGGAAAGUGGUGGAGGACCCAGCUCUACCAUUCAGCUGGACAACAUGCCAGGCGCAGAGUGCCCGCUGCUGCCCGCACGCCCCUUGUGAGCGAUCACAGAGCCUGAGCACUGUUCCAACGGAAAUGUGCAGAGAUGGCACAACAGGUCACAGCAUUCCUUAUGUUUCUGAAAAAGGACUCUGCAUAGACGUUUUCUUCCCAGUAUUUCCUCCUUGAUCUGGUUAAGAUUGUGACAGAUAGGGUCUGAAGGUUAUGAGCACUCAGCAUAUUAUCUCUAUCUAAAUGGCUCUGAGUCAGGCUCUGGGUUUGGCACGAUGGAGUGAUGGUGCCAACUUGUCUCCCAGAAUGGGUGAAUUCAGCUGCUGUGUGCUGAGGUGAUUGGAACAGUAGUAGUUUGGAAGCAAGGAGGAAAGGUGAAAAUCCAACAAGCAUCCUAAUGAGAGAGAGAGUACUGCCUGAACCAGCUCCAAAGGGAGGGUAGCCACAGGCCCUGCUCUUGGAGCACAGAUGUGGAAGGAGGCUGGCAAAGAAGAAGCUGGCACAGUCAUUCUGAGACAGCUACAGGAGGUCUGCAGUAAAGCAGUGCAUAUAUGCAAUACCCAGAGGUCUGCUGGAGUAAGAGUACCUUUUGAAAAGUUUUGAACAAAUUUAUACCAGCAGAUCCAUUUUAGGUCAAAGGAGGAAUUUGUAUUCUGUGGCAGUUGCAUUUUUAUUCCAACUCUGCAGGUGCUAAAGAAGGAUUUACAGUCUUAUGAAACCUGUAUCUGGGGCAUAAAUCUUAACUAAUAGAGUUGCAUCAUUGUAAUUCCCCAACUUGUAGAGGUGUUCUUUUGUAUUAGAAGAAGAUCCUUCCACAGUGUAAUUUAUAUCACUUGGGAAGGAAUUCAAAUAAGACAACAAAAUCAUGUAUAUGACCAUAUUGAUGUAACUGGUAAACUACUCCUAGGUUUGUACAGCCUUACUGAUAUUUUUUACCAACUUCAACUAAUUUGUUUAAAGACACUGUCAGUAUGGUAUAUGAACAUCUUUCCAAGGAACUGGCAUUAAUGUAAUUAAAGCACAUCUAAAUUAAUUUAGCUAUAUGGGUGCAAUGUUUGUAUAUAAACAAGCUUUAACAGAGUCAAGAAUUCUUAAAGAGUAUGCUUCUCACAGUUUUCUUAAGUAUGGUUUUGCUGGGAUACAAUUAAAAAUGCUUGGAGUACUUUGUAAACUAAGCAAUAUGCGUUAGAAAUUAAACUUCUGGCAUUUAUGUGAUUGUGAUUCUAUCCAAAUUAUAAUUUAARCCAAAUAAACAUUUGCCCUUUGUAAAGAAUGGGUUUGGG
ensembl:lncRNA